UCUAGCAUGGGGUAUGACGUAGGAUAUUUGUCUGAGGUGCGAGAAAUUGUUGUCUCAAAAUGACAAUAUUACAGGUUAUGCAACAACAGUUGUAUCAUAAAAAUAUGUAAACUUGAACUUAAAUGUUCAAAGAUCAUAAAACUGCAACACAUGUAGUUCUUCGGAAGCGGAGUAUAAACAAUAGCACAGGUGUUGUUGGGCACAUCCGGUAAGCUAACCAAGGACAGAUCCGUUUGCAAGUAAGUAUGAUUUACACAUCAAUAUUACUAUUACGUUCGAGAUCCUUACAUAUAAUGCAAUAUAUGCUGCAUUUAUUAUCACUGAGCUUGUCGAUCGCAGAUCGUCAGUUAUUUAUCGCUCCUAUAACACUUUUUAUGUUGUGUUUGCCUCGUGUUGAACCUGUCAGAUGUGCAUUUUCUCACGUGGUUACACGCAUUUGUUUCCAUUUGUUUGGGGUCCGCAAACUUUCUCGCUGUAUGGACAACAAGAGUAUAUGCAAAAUAAAAUCAUUUUAAUGUUUGACACAUUUCUUUCCAUGUAUGUUUGUAUCAUUAUUUGAUAUAUUGCCAUUUUAAUUUAUUUAUUCCCGAAAAAUAGCAUGUGUUAUAUAUUGUUUACCCCCUUCCAGUAGCCCCCGAAAAUGUAACUUGAGUAUAAAAGACUGUGCGUGACUGUUUGGAGACUCAUACACGUGUAGCACUUCAAAUUAGUCUUGGGAAAGAAACAAAGUCAAGUUUUAAAGUUUAAUUUAGCAACUGGAAGGCAUUUUGAAGUAAUUUACAUGUGUAUGUACUAGUAUAUCAUUUGUUUUCAGUUUGUACCCCAAGUGACCUGUGGUAACAGAAAUUCAUGUGUUAGGAAACCUGUGAGAACUGGCAACAAUAAAGAUGACAAAUACUACGGUGUCUAAAGCAACAGGAUCAGGUGAAAAAAGUUAACUUCCAGCUCAAAGUGUUCCCACAUCAAGAAGGCAUCAAGUUAAAAAUGCAACAAUGAUAGAACAGGUGACUUGAAUAAAGACAAAUGGUUAGAAGGCUAUGUGCUGGAAUAUGUUACAGGAAAAGAUGAGGAAAAUGGUGUAAUGGUAUUGUCCUUAUCGAGCCCGCCGAUACUGUACUAGUGUGUGUAAUCGAACGCACCUUUACUUUGUUGUGUGUAAUACAUCUCUAGAUGGGGCCAUGUACGAUGUAAAAUACAAAGGAAAAAAGCAAAAACCAUGGUGCAUAAUCUACAGCAAGACCUACAUAAUGGUGAUCUUAAAUUUGGGGAUAUUUAGGCAAUCCCACCUGUGUAUCCAAACCACCCUGCCAUUUAUCACAGCCUGCUGACCUAACCAGUAACAUGCUGAGUAACCCCUCAUACCAGAUGACAGAUACACUACACAUUACCCAUCGAAUCAGUUGGGCACUUGAGCGACUAGCCAACCAACCCAGUCAAAUCAUCAGACAGACAGCCAGUCAACCAAAUAACUUCUUCCUCUUCAUAUCCUGCAAGCCUUUUUAUAAAGAUCUGAUAACAGUCAGUCAAUGCUGCAACUAGUUCAGCCAUUGAUCUCUUUGAAAUCAUUUCUUUGGUAUAAGUGCAGACAACAGCAAACCAACACAACUUCCACAAAUAUCCCAGCCAACCAGUCAAAUAAAUAGCCUAAUCUGAGCUAGCUACUCAACCAAGUCGGACUAACCAGUAUCUCAAGCCCGACCUUGGCAGGAUUGUAUCUAAGUGGCCAGUCAUCAAACAAUUUUGUGUUCAAUAUUCUACUCAACAACCAACAAUUAUGGAAGUCAUAUACUUGAAAAGUUUCCAUGCAGCUAUAUUUAGCUCACCUGGCCCGAAGGACCAUGGUGAGCUUAUGCCAUACCGCAGCGUCCG
rnacentral:lncRNA from 1 species